UUUGGGUUGAAAUAUGAUGAACACUGAAAACUAGAUGGAAUUGUGAAGAUCACAAGAUCCAACUCUGAUUUCACCCAGAG
ensembl:snoRNA small nucleolar RNA, C/D box 19B